rnacentral:rRNA from 1 species
UACGUAGGGGCCUAGCGUUGUCCGGAUUUAUUGGGCGUAAAGAGCUCGUAGGUGGUUCGGUAAGUCGGAUGUGAAAUCUCCAGGCUCAACCUGGAGGGGUCAUUCGAUACUGCCGUGACUAGAGUUCGGUAGAGGAGUGUGGAAUUCCUGGUGGAGCGGUGAAAUGCGCAGAGAUCAGGAGGAACACCCGUAGCGAAGGCGGCACUCUGGGCCGAUACUGACACUGAGGAGCGAAAGCGUGGGGAGCGAACAGG